rnacentral:rRNA from 1 species
UACGUAGGGUGCAAGCGUUAAUCGGAAUUACUGGGCGUAAAGCGUGCGCAGGCGGUUAUGUAAGACAGUUGUGAAAUCCCCGGGCUCAACCUGGGAACUGCAUCUGUGACUGCAUAGCUAGAGUACGGUAGAGGGGGAUGGAAUUCCGCGUGUAGCAGUGAAAUGCAUAGAUAUGCGGAGGAACACCGAUGGCGAAGGCAAUCCCCUGGACCUGUACUGACGCUCAUGCACGAAAGCGUGGGGAGCAAACAGG